CGGGGCUUAAAGUCUUGUAAUUGGAAUGAUGGGAAUUUAAACCUCUUCCAGAGUAUCAAUUGGAGGGCAAGUCUGGUGCCAGCAGCCGCGGUAAUUCCAGCUCCAAUAGCGUAUAUUAAAAUUGUUGCAGUUAAAAAGCUCGUAGUUGAAUUUCUGCUGCAUUGCCUGUGUCCCUCUGGGGUCUGUGCAUGUGGCUUUUUUCGGACGGAGUUUCUUUGUCUGAAUGUUUACUUUGAGAAAAUUAGAGUGCUCAAAGCAGGCUUUCGCCUUGAAUAGUUUAGCAUGGAAUAAUAAAGUAGGACUUUGGUUCUAUUUUGUUGGUUUUAGGUACCAAAGUAAUGGUUAAUAGGAACAGUUGGGGGCAUUCGUAUUUAACUGUCAGAGGUGAAAUUCUUAGAUUUGUUAAAGACGAACUACUGCGAAAGCAUUUGCCAAGGAUGUUUUCAUUAAUCAAGAAC
rnacentral:rRNA from 1 species